ensembl:snoRNA small nucleolar RNA SNORA22
AUGCACAGUGAACACCCAAGGAUGCUAUUGUGGCUUCCCCUGGUCAUUGUAUUUGUGCUACAGUAAAUCUGAUCUGUACCUCUGCAGUAGGAAAGUGUGCUCUUCUCCUACAUGUAUUCAACGGGUCAGAAUAAAC